rnacentral:misc_RNA from 1 species
GAUGAAGAACGUAGCGAAAUGCGAUAAGUAAUGUGAAUUGCAGAAUUCAGUGAAUCAUCGAGUUUUUGAACGCAUAUUGCGCCCUCUGGUAUUCCGGGGGGCAUGCCUGUUCGAGCGUCAUUAAAUAACCCUCAAGCAUAGCUUGGUGUUGGGCUUUUUUACGUCCUUGACUGGGAUGGGCCUAAAAAUUAGUGGCGAUGGCUUUUUUACUUUCAAGCGUAGUAAAUCUCGUCUUGCUAAAGAGGAAAAAGAUUUUUUUUCUGCCAAAAAUUUUAACAUUUAAAGUUGACCUCGGAUCAGGUAGGAUUACCCGCUGAACUUAAGCAUAUCAAAAGCGGAGGA